UACGGAGGGGGCUAGCGUUGUUCGGAAUUACUGGGCGUAAAGGGCGCGUAGGCGGAAUGGCAAGUCGGUCGUGAAAUCCUUCGGCUCAACCGAAGAACGUCGAUCGAAACUGCCGUUCUUGAGGAUUGCAGAGGAGACUGGAAUUCCCGGUGUAGCGGUGAAAUGUGUAGAGAUCGGGAGGAACACCGGUGGCGAAGGCGGGUCUCUGGGCAAUUCCUGACGCUGAGGCGCGAAAGCUAGGGGAGCAAACGGG
rnacentral:rRNA from 1 species